AUGGAGGGAAAACAACAAUGGGACAUUGUGGACCCGGGAUUCAAGCUUUGCGCUCCAGUUCUGAAGAGAGCAGCAGGUAGACCAAGGAAGAGUCGAAUCAGACCUCGCAACGAAGGAGCUGGACUUGGAGCGAGGAAGCGUAAGUGCACAAGAUGUGGUGGGUCUGGUCAUUUCGGUAAGUAUUGUGAUAACACAGUAGAUCCAGCGUUCGGAGAGAGUUUCGAUGAAGGCUUCGAUGAAAAUGAUGGACAGCAGCCGGUUGCAUCAGAUGAGGAUUUUGACGAGGUUCGAAAUGAUGAUGGUCAACGGCCGCAUGACUUUGAUGAUGAUCCAAGUGAGGCUCCAAAUAGUGAUCAUGGUGAUCCAAGUGAGGCUCCAAAUAGUGAUCAUGGUGAUCCAAGUGAGGCUCCAAAUAGUGAUCAUGGUGAUCCAAGUGAGGCUCCAAAUGAUGAUCAUGGUGAUCCAAGUGAGGCUCCAAAUGAUGAUCUUGGUGAUCCAAGUGAGGCUCCAAAUGAUGAUCAUGGUGAUCCAAGUGAGGCUCCAAAUGAUGAUCUUGGUGAUCCAAGUGAGGCUCCAAAUGAUGAUCAUGAUGAUCCAAGUGAGGCUCUAAAUGGUGACCAACCUUCUGUUGUUGUGAGUUCUGCUAGGUAUGUAAAUUUUGCAAGGGUCAAAUACUACUGUACAUUUAUGGGUCACUUGACAUGA
rnacentral:rRNA from 1 species